ensembl:piRNA 21ur-4653 ncRNA
UAACUAGUGCAGUACACGGUG